UGAGCACCAGGGUCAGCAUAGUAAUAAAGACAGACAAGGUCCCUGGCCUCAGGGAGACAGGCAGGAACAGAAUAAACAAAUAAUAACAGAUAAAUGAUACAAUUCAGACAGGGACAGGUGCUAGAUGACAACAAAAGGAAGUGAACAUGGCAGUGACUGGUAGUGGAGGCCAGUGACAGGAGAUAGGGCAGUCAAGGAAGGCCUCCUGGGGGUAGUGAUGGUUGACCUGAGACCUCUGUGAUGAGAAGGCAGCAGCCAUGCAAAAUGUGAGGGGAACGUUUUCCAGGCAGUGGGGACAGAAGGCAAAAAGCACAAAGGAGAGAGGAGCCCAUGUGAGCAGCAGAGAAGGCUUGGGGUGCGGUCAGAGGCAGCAGGGUCCUGGAUAGGAAAGCCUCCGAGGAUUCUAUUGUGAGUGCACGGGAUCCUUCUCUGAGAAACCCACACCCCUUGCCGCCUUCUCUGCCUGUUAGUCAUGCUGAAAACACGAGGCAGGAGGGAAAGGCAGCAUGAUUCACAGACUGGAGGGUGACAGUGACCAGAGCAAGUUUAACCUUUUAAAGAGGAAGGAUCUGUUGCUUGGCUACCAGGCAACAAGGAAGGCUACUCAGAGAGGGGUCCCCACAAGGGAUGAGGGACAAGUUGCCUAACCCUGUGGCAGACGGCUCUGCUUCUCUUCAUGCGACGGGGUCUAUGUUGCCAGGCCGGUCUCCAACUCUUGGGCUCAAGCUCUCCUUCUGUCUUGGACUCCCAAAGUGCUGAGAUUACAGGCGUGAGCUACCAUCCCUGCCCUGCUUGCUCCCCCAAAAAAACUACUUCAACAAAAUGUUUACGUGUGCUUACUGAUGUUUCCUCCCCAACUACUGAAUUUAUCCUUUGCUGAGCAUUACUUGAAAUUGUCAAAAGCUGGAAGUAAUGCAAAAAGAUGACUGCUUGUCCUCUUGAUGUUCUACUGUGAUGUGUCUAACAGGCCCACCAAAAUUUAUUUCAUUCACUAUAAGAAACGAGUCUUUGCUUGCCUUCAUAUUGACUAUAUAUUAGAGCCUGGAUUCAUUAACACUUAUUAACAUUACAUGUUAAUUUGUAUAUUUUUGUCUAGUAAAGAUGAAAAUUUUUGCUCUUUGGUAGAAGAAUAAUUGCGAAGGCUACAGUUUUGUUGCACUGUAGGAUAUUAACUGAUUUUGCAUCUAAUUUAAUAAACUUAUUUAUGCAUUCUUUUCCCAACUAACUAUAUAAAUCUCUGUCCAUCAAAUGCUCUUAAGAACCGUCUUUAACAUACUGCUGGUUCCCUUGUUAAC
rnacentral:lncRNA from 10 species